rnacentral:lncRNA from 1 species
GGCGCGGGUGUUCGGCUACAUCACUGGGGCGCCAUGGUGCCUGGAGCUGGGCAGUUUUCUCAUCAGAGUGGGGACUGAUGAUGAUUAUUCCCCACCUUCUAAGAGACAAAGACCAACGAGCCACCACAGCCCUCACAAUCCAGUGGAGGAGACGCAACUCAUCUGCCUCUGUCCCUCUGGGCACGCCUCAUGCCAGGUGCAUCUGUGGACAGGGGCCAUGCUCCUGGG